UUCAUUGUCGAUGCAUGUUGUUCAAGUCGCCGCUGCCGCUUGAGGUGGCUGCCGGGGCUGCCGCCGAAUGGGUUCGGAGGCCACCGCCGUUUCAGUUCAGCCAUUCUUCCUCUGUCUUGGGUUGUGUAUCGAUGCUUUAUUCGUGAAUGUUAAUGGUUUUAGGAGUUAGAAACCGAGUUUGCAUGUGGCGUUGAGACUGUUUCUGCUUCUGUGAAAGCAAGCGG